rnacentral:rRNA from 1 species
UACAGAGGUCCCAAGCGUUGUUCGGAAUUACUGGGCGUAAAGGGCUCGUAGGCGGCCAACUAAGUCAGACGUGAAAUCCCUCGGCUUAACCGGGGAACUGCGUCUGAUACUGGAUGGCUGGAGUUUGGGAGAGGGAUGCGGAAUUCCAGGUGUAGCGGUGAAAUGCGUAGAUAUUCGCAAGAACACCAGUGGCGAAGGCGGCUCACUGGCCCGGUACUGACGCUGAGGUGCGAAAGCGUGGGGAGCAAACAGG